rnacentral:rRNA from 1 species
CUGCAGCCCGAGUGGUGAUCGAUUUUAUUGAGCCUAAAGCGUCCGUAGCCGGACUAGUAAACCCUUGGGUAAAUUGGGCAGCUUAACUGUCCAAAUUCCGAGGGGACUGCUAGUCUUGGGACCGGGGGAGGUCAGAGGUACUCAAGGGGUAGGGGCUAAAUCCUGUAAUCCUUUGGGGACCACCAGUGGCGAAGGCGUCUGACUAGAACGGAUCCGACGGUAAGGGACGAAACCCUGGGGCGCGAACCGGAUUAGAGACCCGAGUAGUCC